rnacentral:rRNA from 1 species
UACGGAGGAUCCAAGCGUUAUCCGGAUUUAUUGGGUUUAAAGGGUGCGUAGGCGGCCUGUUAAGUCAGGGGUGAAAGACGGUAGCUCAACUAUCGCAGUGCCCUUGAUACUGAUGGGCUUGAAUGGACUAGAGGUAGGCGGAAUGAGACAAGUAGCGGUGAAAUGCAUAGAUAUGUCUCAGAACACCGAUUGCGAAGGCAGCUUACUAUGGUGUCAUUGACGCUGAGGCACGAAAGCGUGGGGAUCAAACAGG